rnacentral:lncRNA from 1 species
UGGGCCUGAGCCAGAUUUUCGUCAGUCGAUCCGAGCUCCUCCAAGAGGCAACAACUCGAAGCAAAAAUAAAAUAAGAAAUUUCGAAAAAAGUUAAUUUAUUAAAAUUAAUAAACGAAAAGAAAAUAAAUAGAGAAAUAAAAUAAAUUUAGAAAAAAUGUGGAUAGUUUCCCGCGCGUUACAAAAUCGGUUUAAAAGGUCUCCAAGAGACCUCCGCGGGCCACCGGAUAAAUAGUGGACAUAAAUUUUCAAAAUUAUUGUACAUAACAUUUACACUUUUUUUAGUUUUUUUUUUUUUAUUUUUAAUUGUAAUUGUAAAUAUUGUAAACUAUGUACAUAUGUAAAUAAUUUGUAAAUAUUUUAAAUGCAACGCUCGAACAUAAUGGAACAAUCGGACUUUCAGUAAGCUAAGCAAGUGCGACUUCCAAAUUCGUUUUUAAUGUUCAAUCAUUUAGACAAAGUGUAAGGAACGGCCUCCUGUUGCUGCACUUCCCGGACUUGCCUACCUGCUGGAACAACUUAAAGCUGCAGCCCCACCUGCAACUUCUCGGACUUUCUACCGGAUGGAACAAUUACAUGCUACCUUCUCCCCGAUAGGAGAUCGGGUGUCUCCUAUCGCUGCCUUGGUACAGUAAGUACAUACAUCAAUUUUCCGACUUUCAAGCACCUCCAAGCUGAUGGUCCACCUCCAGUUGUAGCUCAUGUUGAAUCAUGCCCAAAGACGCUUACACUGCUUUGUGAAGCUUAUGUGUAUUCGAAUUGCGAAAAUGGUAAGUGCUAAUUGAUCUCAACCCAAUCCAUCUGAUCACCUAAUGGAGUCUCUACAGCAGUCUCUACGCCUAGAAUGGAGAGCCGUCCCUCGCAGACAUUCUUGAAGUGAAGUAUCAAGAUUUCAAGUUCGCAUCUAAAUUAAUCAAAUCGUAUCAAAAUUGCGUCGGCGAAUCCUCCACAGGACACAGGAGGAGGAGGAUCUGACAGGGUAAACGAAUAGUGCUCGACUUUCGAUCGAAACUCUCUAAAUCAAUCAAGUGGAAAAUUGCAUUUCGGAAAGAAUAUAUUUCGUAAAUAAAAAGGAG